rnacentral:tRNA from 1 species
GCCGUCGGCGCCCGACUGGACGGGCUCCUGGCUUUUACCCAGGACUGAAGGGGUUCGAGUCCUCUCGGCGGCAC